GGUUGGCUAAUAUGAGGCCUGGCUUUCGCGGCCGGCUGAAGUAUUUUUUUCACCCAUGUCUUUUGCGCACUUGUUGUUUCCUGGGCGGGUUCGCCCGCCACCAGGACCAAACCAUAAACCUUUUUUUUCUUAUGCAGUUUCCAUCAGCGUCAGUAAAAACAAUGUAAUUAUUACAACUUUCAACAACGGAUCUCUUGGUUCUGGCAUCGAUGAAGAACGCAGCGAAAUGCGAUACGUAGUGUGAAUUGCAGAAUUCAGUGAAUCAUCGAAUCUUUGAACGCACAUUGCGCCCUUUGGUAUUCCAAAGGGCAUGCCUGUUCGAGCGUCAUUUGUACCUUCAAGCUUUGCUUGGUGUUGGGCGUUUUUUUGUCUCCCUCUUUCUGGGAGACUCGCCUUAAAACGAUUGGCAGCCGGCCUACUGGUUUCGGAGCGCAGCACAUUUUUUGCGCUUUGUAUCAGGAGAAAAGGACGGUACUCCAUCAAGACUCUACAUUUUUCACUUUUGACCUCGGAUCAGGUAGGGAUACCCGCUGAACUUAAGCAUAUCAAAAGCCGGGAGGAA
rnacentral:rRNA from 1 species